CGGUUUCGAAUUAAAAAUUCAUCGUCGGGUAUGUGACAGUCAGAAUGUAGAAAACUACGUUUUACAUUUUGACUUUUUGCGUUUUACAUUUUGACUGUCACAUACCCGACGAUGAAUUUUUAAUUCGAAA